GAAGACACAUUCCAGCCAAUCAGCAGCAGACCCUCCCUCCCAGACCCUCCCACCUCCUGGACAGCUCACUAAGAAUGCAGCUUCACAAUGAAUGUAAAAUGGAUGCUGUCCAGGAGGUGGGAGGGUCUGGGAGGGAGGGUCUGCUGCUGAUUGGCUGGAAUGUGUCUG